rnacentral:rRNA from 1 species
AGCAGCCGCGGUAAUUCCAGCUCCAAUAGCGUAUAUUAAAGUUGUUGCAGUUAAAAAGCUCGUAGUUGAAUUUCGAGAUCGGCUUACUGGUCGUGCUUUUGUACGUACUGGUAUAAUCGGUUUCUCCUUUCUGACGAACUUUAAUGCCAUUAAUUUGGUGUUUUAGGGAAUCAGGACUGUUACUUUGAAAAAAUUAGAGUGUUUAAAGCAGGCUCACGCUUGAAUACAUUAGCAUGGAAUAACGGAAUAGGACGUUUGAUUCUAUUUUGUUGGUUUCUAGGAUCGACGUAAUGAUUAAUAGGGAUAGUUGGGGGCAUUAGUAUUCAAUUGUCAGAGGUGAAAUUCUUGGAUUUAUUGAAGACUAACUACUGCGAAAGCAUUUGCCAAGGACGUUUUCAUUAAUCAAGAACGAAAGUUAGGGGAUCGAAGACGAUCAGAUACCGUCGUAGUCUUAACCAUAAACUAUGCCGACUAGGGAUCGGAUGAUGUUAAUUUUUAAUGACUCAUUCGGCGCCUUACG